rnacentral:rRNA from 1 species
GAUGAACGCUGGCGGCGUGCCUAAUACAUGCAAGUCGAGCGAACGGACGAGAAGCUUGCUUCUCUGAUGUUAGCGGCGGACGGGUGAGUAACACGUGGAUAACCUACCUAUAAGACUGGGAUAACUUCGGGAAACCGGAGCUAAUACCGGAUGAUAUUUUGAACCGCAUGGUUCAAAAGUGAAAGACGGUCUUGCUGUCACUUAUAGAUGGAUCCGCGCUGCAUUAGCUAGUUGGUAAGGUAACGGCUUACCAAGGCAACGAUGCAUAGCCGACCUGAGAGGGUGAUCGGCCACACUGGAACUGAGACACGGUCCAGACUCCUACGGGAGGCAGCAGUAGGGAAUCUUCCGCAAAGGGCGAAAGCCUGACGGAGCAACGCUGCGUGAGUGAUGAAGGUCUUCGGAUCGUAAAACUCUGUUAUUAGGGAAGAACAUAUGUGUAAGUAACUGUGCACAUCUUGACGGUACCUAAUCAGAAAGCCACGGCUAACUACGUG